rnacentral:piRNA from 1 species
UCUCCAGCCGGUGUUGAAACAGUGCAACC